GUGCCUAUUUCACCGGCGAGGAUCUCCGGCAACUCUCGUUCAGACUCGCGGCAGGACGCAAUAGAGCCGCACAUUCUGCUAAGAUUCAGGGAAACUUGGGCGCAGCAAAGCACACUUUCAGGUUUUUCCAUCGGGAGUUGGUACCUCCCGCUCUCUUGUUUACUUUGUGCACCUUUUUACGUAUUUUAGCUAGUAUUUCGAGUGUGUUCUAUCCUGUUGUUAUCUAGUUUGCUACAUUUGCGUUUUUCGCUAUAGUGCGUGUGUGUGCCACUGUACCCCACAUCGGUUGGUGGGAUAGUGGCCGCGGCGGGGGAUGAUAGCGUAAGGUCAUGUCCUCAGGGGGCUGGGGUGGUCGCGGGGGUAAGUAGGGGAGCAGGG
rnacentral:lncRNA from 1 species